UAUCCUGCCAGAGGCCACUGCUAUCGGGGUUCGACUUAGCCAUGCGAGUCGAGAGGGUUCGGCCCUCGGCGUACUGCUCAGUAACACGUGGACAACCUGCCCUAAGGUGAGGGAUAACCCCGGGAAACUGGGGAUGAUACCUCAUAAUCUACAGAUGCUGGAAUGCCCUGUAGGUAAAAGGUCAGCCGCCUUAGGAUGGGUCUGCGGCCGAUUAGGUAGUUGUUGGGGUAAUGGCCCAACAAGCCUGUAAUCGGUACGGGUUGUGGGAGCAAGAGCCCGGAGAUGGAUUCUGAGACAAGAAUCCAGGCCCUACGGGGCGCAGCAGGCGCGGAAACUUUACAAUGCAGGAAACUGUGAUAAGGGAACCCCGAGUGCCCGUAUGGACGUGCUGUUCAGGUGCGUAAAAAACACCUGGAGAAAGGGCCGGGCAAGACCGGUGCCAGCCGCCGCGGUAAUACCGGCGGCUCGAGUGGUGGCCACUAUUACUGGGCUUAAAGCGUCCGUAGCUGGGUAGUUAAGUCUCUUGGGAAAUCUUCCGGCUCAACCGGAAGGCGUCUAAGGGAUACUGGCUACCUAGGGAUCGGGAGAGGUGAGAGGUACUCUGGGGGUAGGAGUGAAAUCCUGUAAUCCUUAGGGGACCACCUGUGGCGAAGGCGUCUCACCAGAACGACUCCGACAGUGAGGGACGAAAGCUGGGGGAGCAAACCGGAUUAGAUACCCGGGUAGUCCCAGCUGUAAACUAUGCGUGUUAGGUGUAUCGGUGACCACGAGUUACCGAGGUGCCGAAGGGAAACCGUGAAACGCGUCGCCUGGGAAGUACGGUCGCAAGGCUGAAACUUAAAGGAAUUGGCGGGGGAGCACCACAACGGGUGGAGCCUGCGGUUUAAUUGGACUCAACGCCGGACAGCUCACCGGGUAGGACAGCGAUAUGAUAGCCGGGCUGAAGACCUUGCUUGAUCAGCUGAAGAGGAGGUGCAUGGGCCGUCGUCCAGUUCGUACUUGUGAAGCAUCCUGUUAAGUCAGGCAACGAGCGAGACCCA
rnacentral:rRNA from 1 species